rnacentral:rRNA from 1 species
CACGUAGUUAGCCGGUGCUUCUUCUGCAGGUACCGUCACUUUCGCUUCUUCCCUACUGAAAGAGGUUUACAACCCGAAGGCCGUCAUCCCUCACGCGGCGUCGCUGCAUCAGGCUUGCGCCCAUUGUGCAAUAUUCCCCACUGCUGCCUCCCGUAGGAGUCUGGGCCGUGUCUCAGUCCCAGUGUGGCCGGUCACCCUCUCAGGCCGGCUACCCGUCGUCGCCUUGGUGAGCCAUUACCUCACCAACAAGCUGAUAGGCCGCGAGUCCAUCCAAAACCGAUAAAUCUUUCCAACACCCACCAUGCGGUAGGCGCUCCUAUCCGGUAUUAGACCCAGUUUCCCAGGCUUAUCCCAGAGUUAAGGGCAGGUUACUCACGUGUUACUCACCCGUUCGCCACUAAUCCACCCAGCAAGCUGGGCUUCAUCGUUCGACUUGCAUGUGUUAAGCACGCCGCCAGCGUUCAUCCUGAGCCAGGAUCAAACUCU